GAUGAAGAACGUAGUGAAAUGCGAUACUUGGUGUGAAUUGCAGAAUCCCGUGAACCAUCGAGUGUUUGAACGCAAGUUGCGCCCGAAGCCAUUAGGCCGAGGGCACGCCUGCCUGGGCGUCACACGUCGUUGCCCGCCCAUCUACUCCUUCGGGAUUGCGGGGGGGCGGAUGAUGGCCUCCCGUGCGCCUAGCCGCGCGGUUGGCAUAAAUACCAAGUCCUCGGCGACGCACGCCACGACAAUCGGUGGUUGCGAAACCUCGGUUGCCCGUCGUGUGCGUUCUUCGCGCAUCGAGGGCUCGAAAAAAUGCUCGGCUCCGGCUGGGCUUUCAACGCGACCCCAGGUCAGGCGGGGUUACCCGCUGAAUUUAAGCAUAUCAAUAAGCGGAGGA
rnacentral:misc_RNA from 1 species